UUUUUUAAUUUUGGUAAAAGGUGAAAUUUUAUACCAUUUUUGUUUUUGACAGAAUUACAAGGAAAAGUAGAAGCAGAACAAAACAAUUUACAGAAAAUUAAAGAACAACAUUACAACUCUAAUUGCAAAGGAUCGCCGAUGAGUGAUCAAGGCCAAGUUAGGAGGAGAAACACCGAUUCCGAGUCCGCGAAGCUCGGAAAUUUGCGUUGUUGCCGCAGUACCGAAGUAUUGGAAUCCUCAUCCUAGUUGCCACGAGCAUGAUUAUUCAAGGUCCGUCCACAAAACCUCAAAGAUAGAAGUCUACAGCUUCUCCGAGAACUAACGCAAAAACGAACAAGCAAACAUGAACAAGCAAACAUGAUUAAGCCUAAUGUUCUGAAUUUGAUAAUUGAAUUUGAAAUUGGCCAAAU
rnacentral:sRNA from 1 species